GCAAGUCGAGCGCAGUCCUUCGGGACCGAGCGGCGGACGGGUUAGUAACGCGUGGGAACGUGCCCUUUUCUAUGGAAUAGCCUUUGGAAACGAAGAGUAAUACCAUAUACGCCCUUUGGGGGAAAGAUUUAUCGGAGAAGGAUCGGCCCGCGUUAGAUUAGAUAGUUGGUGGGGUAAUGGCCUACCAAGUCUACGAUCUAUAGCUGGUUUUAGAGGAUGAUC
rnacentral:rRNA from 1 species